GCAUCCGUAGCUCAGCUGUAUAGAGUACUCGGCUACUAAGCGUAGGGGCUGAGGUUCGAAUCCUCCCGGAUGCACCA
rnacentral:tRNA from 1 species